CCGGCGAACAGACUGAAAUACUACUGAAAUUACUUCGUUUUCCCCUAGAAGUCAAACUAUGAAAUGCUUUAUAGUCCAUAAACUAAGCAGGCGGAGAGACUUUUGUUCCUGAAGAGAGAGGUUGGCCUAGUUGGGCGGGGCUUAGUGUAACAACUUUAUUCUCCAGUAGAUGGCGCUGCUUAGCUUACUGGGGUGGAUUCUUGUGGCGCUUUUAGGUGCGUAUGCGGAUGCGCGGGACUGAUGAACAUGGCGCCGCCCAGCUACCCGUUCUCUAGUAUUGGAACUGUGCUCUCCCCGCCCCAGCAAUAGCGCACCCAUCCUUUGUCUUCCGUCCACUCCGCGCUUUUACACUGUCCCUGACCAAGCCCCAGGCAGCACCUCCCUCCUUAUUUUUGUCUCCGGUGCGGCUGUUUUCCCUCGGCCCCUUACUUGUGAGGGACUGCGGUUUUGACCCGUUCUGCCCUCCUGCGGGAGGGUCUCACCGAGAAAUGGCCGUCUGCCAGCUGCACCCAGGAAUAUUUGCGGGACCGGGCUGCUGCCGGUGCCCGGAGACUAUGGCCGGGUACCAGCCCACCCCAGAAAAAGUUUGUGAGACAGUAUAGCAGCAGUGUUUCAGGGAUUAUGGCAAAUCACAACAUGCAUCUGGCAUCAGGCUUCACCCCCAACGACUUUGUUCCAGCGCCAGCAAAUGUGGUUGUUCUCCCGGGUUCACUGGGGCCUUUUCCUGUGGGGGGCCACACAGCCUCUACCAGAUGUGCUCCCAGCAGGAGAAUCACCUGUCCCUGCGUGGCCUGAAGACCACCAGACUUCACUCGGCUCCUGGGGAUUCACCCUUCCCACCAGAGCACCACCAGAUCUCUUGCUCAGGGGAAAACUGGCUGCCAUAUUUUGAACAGUCCUAUGGAGAAGACUACUUGGUGAGAAAUGGAGGUCUCCAAAUAAGCUGAGAGAAACUGAGGUUCAGCCAUGUAAGUGAGCCCUCUUAGAAGUGGAUCCUCCAGCCUCAGUCAAGCCUUCAGAUGACUACUGUCCUGGCCAACAUCUUGAUUGCAACCUCAUGGGAGAUCCUGAGCCAGAAACACCCAAAUAAACCAGUCCUGGAUUCCUGAUUCUCAGAAGCUGUUUGAGAUAAUAAAUGUUUGUUGUUUUAAGCCACUGUAGCAAAAGAUAAUAAAAUAACGUUCUAUAGCACAA